UACGUAGGGGGCAAGCGUUGUCCGGAAUCAUUGGGCGUAAAGAGCGUGUAGGCGGCUCGGUAAGUCCGCUGUGAAAGUCCAGGACUCAACCCUGGAAUGCCGGUGGAAACUGUCGAGCUAGAGUCCGGAAGAGGCGAGUGGAAUUCCUGGUGUAGCGGUGAAAUGCGCAGAUAUCAGGAGGAACACCAAUGGCGAAGGCAGCUCGCUGGGACGGUACUGACGCUGAGACGCGAAAGCGUGGGGAGCAGACAGG
rnacentral:rRNA from 1 species